GGUGGAUGUCGGAUGGCGCUGGAGAGGUUCAUCCGCUGGAGGGGUCCAGCUGCUGGAUUCUGUGUGCCCAGAAUCUGUCCGCUACAGAAGUUCGGUCGGAGUUCGAUCUCCGUAGAAGCCCGAUGGGGAUCAUUUGUCGAGGAAUCUCGGUCGAAGCCUGUCUGCAAUAGAAAUCUGGAAGGAAUUCAUCCACAAUGGAAGCUCGAGUGAAGGCUUACAGUGGGAAUCCAAAGC
rnacentral:lncRNA from 1 species